UCGGUUUCCUCUCCUGUGUAAUGGAAGCAGUCGUCCACUCUUAACAAAUGUCCAGAGAUGUCUGGGGGCCAGGUCUCUGUGCUGGGCCUGGGAACAAGACACCUGAUUUUGGGGGAGAUUCUGUCCCCCUUGCUCCACCCCAUGAACUCUGGUGAGGGUGACCACCACACACCACAGUUACUUCCGGGCCCCAAGUGGCUGGCCCAUCAGGGACUUCCCGGGAGUCACAGGUUGGAGGGAAGGAAGCCAGGGAGAGGUGGCAGAGCUGGCUGCACCCCAAGGCUGUCUCCAAGGGGCCCACCCUUGGCCUCCAUCCACCCCUCCCUGGCCCGGACCCCUGUCCUGCCUCAGCAGCCCAGCCCACGGCAGCUGUCCCCUCACAGGCUACAAAGAUGGUGGCCCUGGUCCUGGCCGUGGAGCAGGCAAGGCACGUGGAACAUAAAGAAAUAUGGUUGUGAAGUGGCCAGGCCAUGGAGGAAGCUCGGGGGACCUCGAUGUCUACAUUAAGACCUCCCAGGAGUGGGUUGUCCCUUCUGGAAGGGUGCUGGGGACAGCCGUGUGGCCCUUUUCAGUGGAAGGAUCCCACAUCCUCAGGCAGUGCCAUCACAUCCCCUGAGAAGCCCUGAAACCCAGGCAUGAGGAUGCAGCUGGCCCGGUCCCGGCAGGGAAGGGAGUGCAGCAGCUGGGCUCCGGCUCGCCUACCCACUGAUUGCCAGUGUCCUGGGUGAGAAAGCAGGAGGCUUUUGUGCACACAUGGGCCUCGGGACUGGGUCAGGGCUCAGGCUCCCCAGACGGGAGAAAGUGCAUGCAGGGCCACCGGCUCCCCAGCUGAGGCUGAGGGAGGUGUCCUUGCCUUCCGUGCUCGGAGCCCUGUCUCAGGUGCUUGGCGCUCUUCUCUGCAUCUUGGGUUUCCAGCAGGCCUGCCCCGCCCCAGGACUUGUGGGGAGGCUGGGACUGACCGCGAUCCCCCAGGAACAAGGCAGAUGAUUGAUAGAACUGGGCCCCGCCUGCUCUCUCAGCCCCCAGAGCCCCCAGAGGAUGGAAUGGAAAGGAAGCCAGAGACCGGGAGACCCAGCCACAGCCAUGCAGGAGAGGGCUGGUCAGGGCUGAGGCUGCUGCCCCUGACCUGAGAGCAACGGCACCAUGCCCCUCCAUCUGCCAUCUGCACACAGGGUCGCCUCCAGCCCACAGGGCAAGGGGGCCAGGGCUGGGUCCUGAGUGCAGGGGUGUCCUUGGCAGGGUAAGAGUCAGCCUAACUCAAACUCCACUGCCACACUUUGCAGUGAGACUGACAGGUGGAAUAAACCCACCAGGCCCCUCAGCACCAGUAAGAGCUCUUCAGAGUGGCCCAGGCCUGGCCAUGUCCCUGAGAGAGGGGUGCUGCUGGCGCGCCCUGAGC
rnacentral:lncRNA from 10 species